rnacentral:rRNA from 1 species
AUUGGACGCUGGCGGCAUGCCUUACACAUGCAAGUCGAACGGCAGCACGGGUGCUUGCACCUGGUGGCGAGUGGCGAACGGGUGAGUAAUACAUCGGAACAUGUCCUGUAGUGGGGGAUAGCCCGGCGAAAGCCGGAUUAAUACCGCAUACGAUCUACGGAUGAAAGCGGGGGACCUUCGGGCCUCGCGCUAUAGGGUUGGCCGAUGGCUGAUUAGCUAGUUGGUGGGGUAAAGGCCUACCAAGGCGACGAUCAGUAGCUGGUCUGAGAGGACGACCAGCCACACUGGAACUGAGACACGGCCCAGACUCCUACGGGAGGCAGCAGUGGGGAAUUUUGGACAAUGGGCGAAAGCCUGAUCCAGCAAUGCCGCGUGUGUGAAGAAGGCCUUCGGGUUGUAAAGCACUUUUGUCCGGAAAGAAAUCCUUGGCCCUAAUACGGUCGGGGGAUGACGGUACCGGAAGAAUAAGCACCGGCUAACUACGUG